rnacentral:rRNA from 1 species
GACGAACGCUGGCGGCGUGCUUAACACAUGCAAGUCGAACGGAAAGUCCCUGCUUUUUUUUGUUUCUCUAUUUGCUAUCGUGUUAUUAUCACUUUUUUAACCUUCCCUUUUCUUUGUUAUAUCUUCUGUAAACUUUGUCUACUACUUUAUCGUAUCUCCUGCUGCUUUUUUUUUUUUUUUUUGUUUCGGCGGUUGGGGAUGGACUCGCUGCUUAUCAGCUUGUUGGUGGGGUAGUGGCUUACCAAGGCUUUGACGGGUAGCCGGCCUGAGAGGGUGACCGGCCACAUUGGGACUGAGAUACGGCCCAGACUCCAACGGGAGGCAGCAGUGGGGAAUAUUGCACAAUGGGCGGAAGCGUGAUGCAGCAACGCAGCGUGCGGGAUGACGGCCUUCGGGUUGUAAACCGCUUUAGAAUGUGACGAAGAGUGAGUGACGGUAAUGGGUAAAGAAGCACCGGCUAACUACGUG